UGAGCAACCUGCCCUUGACUCUGGAAUAACAGCUGGAAACAGCUGCUAAUACCGGAUAUGACCUCCGAUGGCAUCAUCUGGAGGUGGAAAGCUCCGACGGUCAAGGAUGGGCUCGCGGCCUAUCAGCUUGUUGGUGAGGUAACGGCUCACCAAGGCUUCGACGGGUAGCCGGCCUGAGAGGGCGACCGGCCACACUGGGACUGAGAUACGGCCCAGAUCCUACGGGG
rnacentral:rRNA from 1 species